rnacentral:rRNA from 1 species
GAUGAACGCUGGCGGCGUGCCUAAUACAUGCAAGUCGAGCGAACAGACGAGGAGCUUGCCCCUCUGACGUUAGCGGCGGACGGGUGAGUAACACGUGGAUAACCUACCUAUAAGACUGGGAUAACUUCGGGAAACCGGCGCUAAUACCGGAUAAUAUAUUGAACCGCAUGGUUCAAUAGUGAAAGACGGUUUUGCUGUCACUUCUAGAUGGAUCCGCGCCGCAUUAGCUAGUUGGUAAGGUAACGGCUUACCAAGGCAACGAUGCGUAGCCGACCUGAGAGGGUGAUCGGCCACACUGGAACUGAGACACGGUCCAGACUCCUACGGGAGGCAGCAGUAGGGAAUCUUCCGCAAUGGGCGAAAGCCUGACGGAGCAACGCCGCGUGAGUGAUGAAGGUCUUCGGAUCGUAAAACUCUGUUAUUAGGGAAGAACAAAUGUGUAAGUAACUAUGCACGUCUUGACGGUACCUAAUCAGAAAGCCACGGCUAACUACGUG